GUAGUACUCCCUCCGUGCUAAAAUUCUUGUCUUAACUUUAUCUAAAUACGGAUGUAUCAAAUCACAUUUUAAUAUUAGAUACAUUCAUAUCUAGAUAAAUUUAAGACAAAAAUUUUAGGACGGAGGGAGUACUUU
rfam:Triticum aestivum genome assembly, contig: Triticum_aestivum_CS42_TGACv1_scaffold_288665_4AL